UGCGACACAACCGUUGUUUUUAGAUGUGUGUCAGUGAACGUGCCAUUAUGACAUUAGAACCGGACCGUCCAGUGACACGUCCUCGACAAGGCGACGGAAUUCCACGGAGAUGCCAGGAGGCAGAACUCCCCGAGGCUGCCCCGCGGCUCGGGAGCGCCUCAGGCCCGUGACGGGAUUGUGACAGGCUGGGAUACAGAGCUUUUAGUACCUUCUGUCCGUGCUACUGUGGAAGAGGCGGGCCGAGGGAAACCGCGAAAGCGGGGCGAGGAGCUGCAGACGCGUUCUGCUGUCUGCAGAUCUGUCCCGAGUGUGGCUGCAAGGGAAAGAAACAGCGUCUGGAUACGUCUUAGGAGCGAAGUCAAACCGCUGGAGAAGGUUGCAGAGCAAAAGGAGACAGGAAGUAAUAAAAUAAAACAUGAAAAAAUGCAA